AGUAGGUUGUGCAUACCCACUACUCAUUCGUGCGCGCAGCCUCCUCCGACUGCACCUUCCGUGAUUCUCUUGUUUUUAUCUCUCUCUUCUGUGUUUUAGGAUUUUCAGAGUUCUUAUUAUUACUUAUAUGUCAACUUAUGGGGAGAUCUUACAAUCUGUGUUAUAAUCCUAUGGUUGAUGAUCUUCCACCCCAAUCCCAGUCCUAGUUUCUUUAAAUAAUCAAUAUCUGGAAAUAUACAACCUGAGGACAUGGAAAAUCAGUCAAAACAAAACCAGCAAGGAACAAGUUCUGCAUCAUCCAUCCAGAAAAGAGAGGAAGAUCAAGCAGCCAGCACUGCUAUUAGAUGGAAAGAUUCAUUAGAAAAAAAAUAUCUAGAAGUCAAAGAGCAUGCAGAAACAUACCCUUAUGUUUGGGCUUCAUAUAUUGUUGUAUAUGGUGGGUUUGGUCUCUGGACUGCCUAUAGAUGGAGAAAGCUUCGCAAGACCGAAGACAGAGUAAGAUCUCUUCAAGAAAGACUACGUAAGCUUGUAGAAGCUGAAGAAUCUUCUAGUUCUACCAAAGUGGUUGAAAAGGGUUCUACAUAUUCUGAUAAGCCUUCCAAGUAGGUUACUGUAAGAAUAAUCCUUCUCUUGGCCAGUUUGUUUAGUUUACUUCUAUCAAUAUCACUUCUCUUACCAUUGUUGUCGCCUCGGGCGUUAUAUAAUUUAUUUAUUUUUAUCCACAAAUCAACUGAUUCAUUUUGGAAUUCCUCAAAAAUAUGUUGAACUUUGUAGAAAUUGUUAAAAAUUAUAUCUGAUAUUUAUCUUCCAAAAGUUGUGACGAUAUUAUUUGAUUGGUUACUGUUACAGAUCUUCAGUUUCCAUAUUGAUUAGAGAUGG